CCCUCGUCCACCAAACAACACACACAAAAUUUACUAGCAAGGGAGCCAUGGAUCUGGCAACAGGCGCCAUGGGCACCCUGCUCCCCAAGCUGCUGGAGCUCCUCAGCGAGGAGUACAAGCUGCAGAAAGGCGUCAGGGAAGGAGUCAAGUCUCUCGAGAAAGAGAUGAGGAGCAUGUACGCUGCCCUCCGCAAAGUGGCGGAGGUGCCACGGGAGCAGCUUGACGAGCAGGUCAAGCUCUGGGCAGGGGAGGUGAGGGAGCUGUCCUUCGACAUGGAGGACGUCGUUGACAAGUUCCUGGUGCAUGUGGACGAGGGUUCUGAGCCUGCAGCAAACUCUAAUAAGCUCAAGCGGCUCACGAAGAAGAUGGCCAGCUUGUUCACCAAGGGGAAGGCUCGCCAUGAGAUCGCUGAUGCGAUCAAGGACAUCAAUAAGCAAGUCCAAGCGGUUGCUGAAAGGCGUGCAAGGUACAAUGUCGAUAUUACCGUCGCUAACCUCCCUACUGUGACUUCCAUCGAUCCUCGCCUUGGGGCUAUGUACACGGAAGCAACAGGGCUUGUUGGAAUUGCCGGAACAAGGGACCAAGAGGUAAUGAAGUUGCUCUCGGAGGGGGAUGACAUGUCCAAGAAGAAUUUGAAGAUUGUCUCUGUUGUCGGAUUCGGAGGAUUGGGCAAGACCACUCUUGUCAAAAUGGUCUAUGAGAAGAUCGGAGGUGAUUACGACUGCAAGGCUUUUGUUCCAGUCGGUCGAAAGGCUGAGGCAAAGACGGUUUUCACAAAUAUCCUUCUUAAUCUUGGCAUAAAUGGAAGUGAGCUCAUCAUGUUGAAUGAGCAACUGCUCAUCGACAAACUCCGGGAAUUUCUCAAGAACAAGAGGUACCUCAUUGUAAUUGAUGAUAUAUGGGAUGAAAAACUGUGGACAAUUAUCAAGUGUGCAUUCUCUAGUAGUAACAAAUUUGGCAGUCGGUUAAUCACGACAACUCGUAUAGUCAGUGUAUCUGAAUCAUGCAGCUCGUCUACUAAUGAUUCAAUUUACACAAUGGAACCUCUUAGUGAUGAUGAUUCGAAAAGGCUGUUUUAUAAACGGAUAUUUUCUCUAGAGAGUGGAUGUCCUCCUGACUUUGAAGAAGUAUCUAGAGAUAUAUUGAAGAAAUGUGGUGGUGUUCCAUUAGCCAUCAUUACCAUAGCUAGUCUUUUGGCUAGUGGUCAGCGGGUAAAACCAAAGAAAGAGUGGCAUGUUUUGCUAGACUCUAUUGGUCGUGGACUUACUGAAAACCAUACUGCCAAGGAGAUGAUAAGGAUACUAUCAUUUAGCUAUUAUGACCUGCCUUCCCCUAUGAAGACAUGCUUAUUAUAUCUAAGCAUGUUUCCGGAAGAUAGCGAGAUCAUGAAAGAUCGGUUGAUAUGGAUGUGGAUUGCUGAAAGCUUUGUCCCAAGUGGAAAAGCAAAUACUAGUCUCUUUGAGGUUGGAGAAACUUACUUCCAUGAGCUUGUGAACAGAAGCUUGAUACAGCCGGUAUAUGGUUAUUAUGGCUUUGUAUAUGCUUGUCGUGUACACGAUAGUAUACUUGAUCUAAUUUGCUCCUUGUCAAGUGAAGAGAACUUUGUUACUAUAGUGAAUGGUACUAGCGAUAACAUGUCUUCUCAGGGCAAUGUGCGCAGGUUAUCCCUCCAAAAUGGUAUAAAAGAAGAAGAUCGAACCAGGCCUCACAUAUCUGAGAGUAUAAGACAAGUGAGGUCUGUUGUUACAUUUGAACCUGCUAUUGAUCUAAUGCCACCAUUCUCGAGCUUUGUUGUUUUGCGUGUAUUAGAUUUGGAGUUGUAUGCAUAUAGGGGUACUAAGGAGGACCAUCUCAACCUUCAAGAGUUGGGGAGUUUGCUUCACUUGAGGUACCUACGUCUAUCUGGAAGAAGAAUUGGUGAGUUGCCGAAAGAGAUUGGAAAGUUGCAGUUUUUGCAGGUGUUGGAUUUGCCUGGAGGUACAAGACUGCCGGCGACUGUGAUUAAGCUCACAAGAUUGAUGUGCCUACUGAUUAAUGGUGGGAGGUUCCCACCUCCAGAUGGUGUUGGAAACCUGAGAUUAGUGGAAGUAUUGAGUAAGAUCAAAGUUGGCUCUGUAAGCAUUGCAAAAGAGUUGGGCAACAUGGACAGACUGAGCGAGCUUAAUAUUCAGUUUGAGAGCUCGGAUCCUGUGAAAGCUUUUGUGGAGUCACUAGGGAAAAUGCGAAAGAUCCAGCAUGUUGUAAUCAGUUCCAAGUGUGAGCUUGAAGUUUCAAUGGAUCACUCGGGGGAACGUUGGGAGUCCCCUGCAAGUCUCCGGGAGUUUAUCAUGCACAAAGGCGUCAGAUUAUCUACUCUGCCGUCAUGGAAUCCCUAUCAUUUGUCACAGCUCUUCAGGUUAGAAAUAUAUGUUGGGGAAAUGCGUCAGGAGGAUCUGGGAUUCCUUGGAAGGUUACCGGCUCUUCGGAUUCUCGAGUUAAAGAGCGACAACCAGAGGUCGCUACUCGUCGGCGCCGAGGGAUUCCGUUGUUUAGAAACAGUCACCUUCCAUUCCAAAUCACCGAGCAAAAUAUUGUUCAAGCCAGGAGCUUUUCCCAAGGCCGAACGAGUUCUUCUCUUUAUCGGUUUGCGGGCAGCAAAAGAGGAAGCAGGUGGCAACGGUGGCGAUUGGUUUGACCUGGGCAUGGAGAACCUGCCGUCCCUUCAGGAUGUCAGUGUCAUCUUCUUCCGUUCGGGAGUGACGGUCGGGGAGGCCAAGCAAGCGGAGGAUGCGCUGGAGAACGCCCUCGACGACCAUCCUAAGCGUCCCAACAUUCGCAUCCACUGCCUCGAGGUCUACGCAGCAGCAGACUUAGAGAGUGAUGGCGGGGAGUCAGAGUCUGACGACGGCUGGGACGGCGAGGAGUGAGUGUCAGACUGAAGAACCAGCCUGCAGGCUCUGUCAUUGUUUACUGGCGACUUGCGGCGCGUCUGGAAUAUGGCCGAUGGCAACAUGGAUCGACGACACUCGCUAUUCCUUGAGCUUCUUUCUUGGCUUAGAGGGACAAAAGAAAAGAAAAAGACAAAAAAAAGGAAAAUUACAAAAAAAAAUCACGCACUAUUUGUCUUACACCAAAAAAAGGCAGUGGGAGGGGUGCGGGGAGUGUAUGAAAAUCCAAAAAAAAACAAUUUAUAGCUCUACGUGUGCUUUUUUCUCUCGCUUAAGAGGGGCUUGCUUUUUCCAGAACUUAUGCGUCUAUCUAUUUUAUUUUUCUCAAUUAUUAUUGAUUGUUUUUUAAAUAUCUUUUAAACCAAAAUGUAUUUUUUGCUUUGUAACGCCUGGUGUCAUAUUGCUUCAAGCAAAGAAAAUCCAAAAAAAACAGGUUUGAGCUUUUAUGCAAUUUGUAGUUUUAUUUUUGUUUGGGUUUUUGCCUGUGGGUGGAUUUUUAGGGGUGUGGGAGGUGGGGGAACUCCGCCUAUGAUGUUGAUGCUAAGCUUAUGCUUAAUAAAAUUACUCAUAGCCGGUCCCAAGCCCGGAUAAAGGAGGAGGGUCCAACCGUAUAAACUUUAUGUUUACAAAAAAAUCAUGACUCUUUAAUAAUGUCCUUUUUUUCUUAUCAUAUUGCUCAUUUCUGUUUUGAUGGGGUUGUCAUUACAUUGACACACAUCUCCAUCAUAAUGUUUCAAGGCACCAAAUUUGUUCGGUUUUACAUUGCUAGUCCGUCAUUUGUAUAGUUUUGCAGGACUAGGAAUAUAUUUUUUUCUUGAAGCAUUUUAUAACUUCACUGUAGAAGAUAAACAAUCAAAGUUUGAAAAAUCUUAUACUAGAGAGAAAUUGCUGAGGAAGAGUAGAGCAGAGCAGUGGAGACGGUUGCAAACUUGCAAGCCGUCUUUGGCCGCAUUGCCUGCCACACCAAGAGAAAAGAUAACAACACCUCGAUGGCGUCUGCCAUGACUGGCGCCUAUGUCCGCACGGCUGAGCUCCGCAUGCUCGAGGCCACCAUCUCCGGUGUCCGAGGCAACGGAUACAUGUUAGGAUUCCACGAGGUCGGCGGCGGCGAGGGAAGAGACCAGGCCAGGCUCUACCCGGGCGAGCCGGCGAGGGCGAUGAAGUACCACUGCAACUUCGACCCUUCGCAUGGCGCCUGCCUCCGGCGACCUACCGGACAGCUGCCUGCGAUGGGCUGUUUGUAUACGUUGGACAAGUUAGGAAUUUUCGGAACACUUUGUUCGAGCAGCCCUCGGAAGCUCUUGGGCUCAGAUCAAGAUACUUGAAAUAUAGAGUGCAACCAAGAACAGAACAGACUGCCAUUACUGCCAUCCCUGCCCCAGCCUGAAUGUCUCCAUUGGGACAAGCCAGCAUACUUCUUCAAGAUGAAACCAGAGGCCUCCGAAUCCUCCAUGAGGACUGAUGGGUAGACGUCACGCCAUUCAUCGUGAACAUCAGUGAUCCCUUAUAGCUGGGCUCUUUAAAAAAGAAAAUUCAUCUGAUUUCCAGUGAUGGGUUGAAGAGCGUGAAGCAUAGGGUGGUGGCGAAGAACUGUGCGCCGAGGGUCUCAAUCACAUGCUUCUUUCACACACAUUUCCACCCGGCCUUGAUCUGGUUGUAUGGUCUGAUCAAGGACUUGUUGUCUGAUGGAAACCCUUCAUUGUAACUGGUUUCCGGUUGUGAAUUGUGAAGUAGAGUUUGUGUACUGGUAGCAUAUUAUAGACUAUACCAGUCUAGCUGGAUCAUGUAUAGUCGAGCAGUUUGAAAUGCUAAGAAAAGUGACAGUAAAAUGGCAGUACAAGUACCAGAAUAUUGAAUGCAGACCUAAAUGGUACUACAGGAGUGCACUAGUUUGGUGUCCUGGUGCAUUUUACUAUAUCAGAACAAGUAGUAGACUCGAAAAUUCUUCAUGGAAUCUGUAUAUAUUCAAUCGUUUGAUAAAACUCUUUCCACUUAAUUACUGUUAAAAGGAGGAGCUUUUACAAACUGUGGAAACAGAGAAGGCUCUGCUAUAGUGAAGAGUUUUCACGUGUGGGUUUCUGGCCGCGGGGAAAAGUGCAGUUUCUGGUAGUGACAGGAUCUGUAUUGAACAGAGGAGGAGUUUGUACAAACAGUGGAAACAGAGGAAGGCUCUGCUACAGUAGAGUUUCCACAAUCAGGGACUUCCUCUGUUUUCACAGGAUCUGUAUUUGUUCCAUCGCUUGUGGAACUCUUUCCACUUAUUACUAUAUAUUCUCAUUUGACAGAUUCUAAGGUAAUAUAGAACCACUCAUCCUUUAACCCGAUGACAGCACAUUUUCUUCUCCAGUUAUGACAUGCAAACUUUCGAUAUCAAAUGUGGUAUAUAGACGCAUGCAUUCACAGAUCUUCCAGCUUAGCGGAAUAAGUAACUAAAGUUUCCAUCUUUCAAAAGUUGAGCUUAAUUAUGCUUCCUGAAAGAGCACAGUUGCAUAAGUCGAGUGAUAAAAUCAGCUGGACCUCGUGGCAUUUGAAGGAACCAACUGAAAACAAAAAACUUGCUUACUGAAGUGAUCGUGUAUCUGAGUGCUGCUAAUUAAUUUUAU